rnacentral:rRNA from 1 species
AGCCCUAAGUAAUAAUUUAGGGUGAAGCCUGCCCAAUGAUGAUUUUAAAUUUAAAUGGCCGCGGUACUUUGACCGUGCUAAGGUAGCAUAAUCAAUUGACUUUUAAAUGGAGUCUGGAAUGAAAGGAAAAACGGGGUUUAGCUGUCUCUAGCUUUUUACUAUAAAGUUACUAAUUAGGUGAAAAGGCCUAAAAAAGAUAAAAGACGAGAAGACCCUUAGAGUUUUAAUAAGUUUUCGUUGGGGCGACGCAGAGUCAUUAAAAAUAACACUCUGGAAAAUAAGACGGAUUUUUCAUGUAUAGACAAACUACCUGAGGGAUAACAGCAUAAUCUUAUUAGGUUUGUGACCUCGAUGUUGGACUAGGAAGCCUCUAGACUAGCCGUUUAGAAGGGGGAUUCUGUUCGAAUUUAUUACUCCU